rnacentral:tRNA from 1 species
UGGGGGGUCGUCUAACGGUCGGACAGCGGCCUUUGAAGCCGUGAAUCGGGGUUCGAUUCCCUGCCCCCCAG